GGAACUGUGGAGACAUGAGGUGUGCAGGAGUCAUCGCAGACACCGGAGCAGCGGCCUGAGCGGCUGACAGCCCCGCGCCCAGCUGGGCCUGUCCCCGCCACCCUGUGCUCCCGAGGGGCGAGCUGGAGAUGACGGCAGGACCACAGGAGCAAGCUGAGGCCAGACGUGUACACCUGCCUGUGACACUCCACAUACGGUUCAGAAAGCAAGAUACCUUUGGGAGCUGAGGAAGGAUUCUUUCUAAUUAAAUGAUCAGACAGUAAGUGCCAAAACUUGAGAGUCAAGUUCUUUUCUAUGUGAAGGUGUUCGGUUGUUGGGACAGUCACAACUUCUGACACCCAGUUUAUGCUUUAAAGGAACACACCACACACACACACACACACACACACACACCACACACACAGUAGAUUAUCCAGGCGUGGGGCAGUGGUACAUAAAGGACAGUGUGUGAGGACCCAGGUUCAAGCUCUGGCCCUCAGCCUAGCAGGGAGGCUUCCCAAGUGGCCAAGUAGUGCUGCAUGUGUCCCUCUCUCUAUCCAGUAGAUCAUCUGCCUGAGGUCACACUGUCAAAAUGGGCUCCUGUGUUUAACUCCCCUUCCGUCGAGGCAAGUUAAAUAUCAAACUGGAGCCUUGACACGUCAGCACUAAAGCGCUGUGCCCGGCGCCUUAGAGCGUCUCGUCUGGAGCCUGUGGCGUAAGCUUGACUGCUCUCCCUGCCCUUUUCUUUCUGUUGCCAUGAAGGCUUCAAAGUCCAGGGUGACUUUCACAGAGGGGUAAAGGUGACAGCAGACACACUAUCCGGGCGAGCUAGUGGAGGGGGUGUCACAGAAGGUCUUCCCCACCUCUGACGGGCUUCUCCGGACAGACAGAAGGAAAGAAAGCACAGCACUGAAGCCGCCUGUGCACUGGGGGCCUGGGCUGCACACUACCCAAGGGGGCUGUUCGGCCGCCCCUGGCCCCAGUUUAAAAGAGAAAAAGUUACUUAAACAGCUCAGUUUGUUUUGCCACCAAGGUUAUUGCUGGGAGUCUGUGGCUGCGUGACUCCACCAUUCCCAAUGUUUUUCUUGCCCCGUAAUGUUAGGGGGAGACCACAGGACUGCUCCCCACUCUCAAGCUUGCCUCUGACAUGGUGCUCCCACUUCUUGGCUGGGGACUCUACCCCGGGUCCUCACACAUGCCCCCCCGGAGUUUAUCCACAAUUGUACAAAAGCUUUUGAGGUCUACGCUCCUGUCCACUGUCUCCACUGGUGUGAACUCUGGAAGAUAUUUUCACUUUUGUUUUUGCUGACCUUUCUAAUUUUUGACAUACGGUGUUGAUUUCUGUCCACUGCUCGUUACGUGUUCCGCUAGUUUCCGUGACGGUUGAGUCACCUUUAAUUGGACUCGUGGGCCAUUUCCCGCCAUCACACGUCACUACAACGCCUGCUGCCUCAAGUCUGAGGGUCGCUAGGGGCCUGGCCCCAUGCACACGUCAGGGCUCUGCUGUGAGCAGUGUGUGAUGGCUGCCUUAGCUUCCUCGUCUUUUCAAGUAGACUUGUCGGGCUGUAGCGAUUAAAUGAGAAACCGCAGCACGUGUUUACAGCAGCAUCUCAAAGAGUUGUUAGCUUUCAACAAGUAACCGCGGCCACUUUCUCAAACCCAACUCAAGUUCUCCCUCGCAACUUCUCUCUGGUUUGAAAGAUGGCUGUUUCAGAUCGGCAUCUGGACUAGCGUAAAUCCUCCCCUUUUCCCGACUCUGCUGUGCUCUCUGGCCCUGCUCUCCGUGAGCACCAGGGAGGACUUUUUUUUUUAAUAUUUAUUUUAUUUUUUCCCUUUUGUUGCCCUUGUUGUUUUAUUUUUGUAGUUGUUAUUGUUGUUGUUGUUUCAGGGAGGACUUUCUAACCAGAGACUCACACUGCUCUUUCAGAAAAGCCCCCAUGGCUAUUUGAUGGGGGCGUUCAUUGGCACCUCGUGCAAAGGCUUCUCAGCUCCAGAAACUGCGCACUGGGGCAAAUGCUCCGCCUACUGCCGCUUUCCCGUGGGUCUCCAGGGCUACUGAUUGCUGGGCUGCCCAGGGGUGUUGCCUGCACUACGGACCCACAGCUUCUGGGAACCACUUUUUCCUUUUUCCUUUUUAUUUGACAGGACAGAGAGAAACUGAGAGGUGGGCAGAGGAGGGAGAGGGAGAGACAGACAGACAACUGCGGACCUGCUUCACCCAGCCCCCUGGAUUUACUUUUUCAGUCACAAAAGGAAACAUUCUUGACAAAAAUAAUUUUCAGGGCCAGGUGGUAAUGCACCCAGUUGAGCGCACACGUUACAAUGUGCAAGGACCCAGGUUCAAACCCCCAUUCCCGGUGUGUGUGUGUGUGUGGGGGGGUUCACUAGUGGUGAAAACAUGCUGUAGGUUUCUCUCACCCUUUCAGUUUCUCUCUCAAAUGUUUAAAAAAGAA